AUUGAACGCUGGCGGCAGGCCUAACACAUGCAAGUCGAGCGAGCGGCGGACGGGUGAGUAAUGUAUGGGGACUGCACGAUAGAUGGGGAUAACUACUGGAAACGGUGGCUAAUACCGCAUAUUAUCGGAUAACCCAUAUGGACUUAGCUAGUAGUGGGGGUAAAGGCUCCCCUAGGCGACGAUCUCUAGCUGGGCUGCGAGGAUGAUCAGCCACACCGGGAGUGAGGAACUGCCCAGACUCCUACGGAGGCAGCAGUGGGGAAGAUGGCACAAUGGGCGCAAGCCUGAUGCAGCCAUGCCGCGGGUAUGAAGAAGGCCUUAGGGUUGUAAACCUCUUUCGCUAUCGAACGGGUAGGUGGAGAAGAAGCGCCGGCUAACUACGUGCCAGCAGCCGCGGUAAUAC
rnacentral:rRNA from 1 species